UAUUGCACAAUGGGCGCAAGCCUGAUGCAGCCAUGCCGCGUGUGUGAAGAAGGCCUUCGGGUUGUAAAGCACUUUCAGUCAGGAGCAACGGUUAGUAGUUAAUACCUGCUAGCUGUGACGUUACUGACAGAAGAAGCACCGGCUAACUCCGUGCCAGCAGCCGCGGUAAUACGGAGGGUGCGAGCGUUAAUCGGAAUUACUGGGCGUAAAGCGUACGCAGGCGGUUUGUUAAGCGAGAUGUGAAAGCCCCGGGCUCAACCUGGGAACUGCAUUUCGAACUGGCAAACUAGAGUGUGAUAGAGGGUGGUAGAAUUUCAGGUGUAGCGGUGAAAUGCGUAGAGAUGUGGAGGAAUACCAAUGGCGAAGGCAGCCCCCUGGGAGUUAUAUUGACGCUCAUGCACGAAG
rnacentral:rRNA from 1 species